rnacentral:rRNA from 1 species
GAAGUUUUAGUGACUGAGUGGCGGACGGGUGAGUAACGCGUGGGUAACCUGCCUCACACAGGGGGAUAACAGUUGGAAACGGCUGCUAAUACCGCAUAAGCGCACAGUACCGCAUGGUACAGUGUGAAAAACUCCGGUGGUGUGAGAUGGACCCGCGUCUGAUUAGCUAGUUGGCAGGGCAACGGCCUACCAAGGCGACGAUCAGUAGCCGACCUGAGAGGGUGACCGGCCACAUUGGGACUGAGACACGGCCCAAACUCCUACGGGAGGCAGCAGUGGGGAAUAUUGCACAAUGGGGGAAACCCUGAUGCAGCGACGCCGCGUGAGCGAAGAAGUAUUUCGGUAUGUAAAGCUCUAUCAGCAGGGAAGAUAAUGACGGUACCUGACUAAGAAGCACCGGCUAAAUACGUGCCAGCAGCCGCGGUAAUACGUAUGGUGCAAGCGUUAUCCGGAUUUACUGGGUGUAAAGGGAGCGCAGGCGGUGCGGCAAGUCUGAUGUGAAAGCCCGGGGCUCAACCCCGGUACUGCAUUGGAAACUGUCGUACUAGAGUGUCGGAGGGGCAAGCGGAAUUCCUAGUGUAGCGGUGAAAUGCGUAGAUAUUAGGAGGAACACCAGUGGCGAAGGCGGCUUACUGGACGGUAACUGACGUUGAGGCUCGAAAGCGUGGGGAGCAAACAAGAUUAGAUACCCUGGUAGUCCACGCCGUAAACGAGAAUACUAGGUGUCGGGGAGCAUGGCUUUUCGGUGCCGUCGCAAACGCAGUAAGUAUCCCACCUGGGGAGUACGUUCGCAAGAAUGAAACUCAAAGGAAUUGACGGGGACCCGCACAAGCGGUGGAGCAUGUGGUUUAAUUCGAAGCAACGCGAAGAACCUUACCGAAUCUUGACAUCCCUCUGACCGGUCUUUAAUCGGACCUUCUCUUCGGAGCAGAGGUGAAGGUGCUGCAUGGUUGUCGUCAGCUCGUGCCGUGAGGUGUCGGCUUAAGUGCCAUAACGAGCGCAACCCUUAUCGAUAGUUGCUAGCAGGUUAUGCUGAGGACUCUAUUGAGACUGCCGUCGUAAGAUGUGAGGAAGGUGGGGAUGACGUCAAAUCAGCACGGCCCUUACGUCCGGGGCUACACACGUGUUACAAUGGGGGGUACAGAAGGCAGCUACACGGCGACGUGGUGCUAAUCCCGAAAGCCUCUCUCAGUUCGGAUUGGAGUCUGCAACCCGACUCCAUGAAGCUGGAUUCGCUAGUAAUCGCGCAUCAGCCACGGCGCGGUGAAUACGUUCCCGGGCCUUGUACACACCGCCCGUCA